rnacentral:rRNA from 1 species
UGGGGAAUAUUGGGCAAUGGGCGAAAGCCUGACGCAGCAACACCGCGUGAGGGAUGAAGCUCUUUGGAGCGUAAACCUCUGUCAGUGGGGACGAAUUUUGACGGUACCCACAAAGGAAGCAUCGGCUAACUACGUGCCAGCAGCCGCGGUAAGACGUAGGAUGCGGGCGUUGUCCGGAAUCAUUGGGCGUAAAGAGUUCGUAGGCGGCAUGUCAAGUCUGGUGUUAAAGCCCGGGGCUCAACCCCGGUUUCGCACCGGAGACUGGCAAGCUAGAGUGCAGAAGAGGCAAGGGGAAUUCCCAGUGUAGCGGUGAAAUGCGUAGAUAUUGGGAGGAACACCGGUGGCGUAAGCGCCUUGCUGGGCUGUUACUGACGCUGAGGAGCGAAAGCUGGGGGAGCGAACG